rnacentral:lncRNA from 1 species
CACACUAAACAACUGUAGCCUAAACUAACCCCAUGGAAGGAUAAAACCAGCCUACAAAGCUGAAACUCAAUCAGUCAUAGCUUUCAGUAGGUUGUUUGAAUACUGCUUUUGUUAUUCUAACUGCAAAGGUCCUCUUUACACAUGUGCAUAAUCAUUGGCUGCCUCAGUCCUCCAAUACUUCAUUUAACUGUGUGGAUCAAGUGUCCUCUGUGCUUGUCCACUCAAAGUCUUUUUAUGCUUUCUCCCAACUGUUCCCCUCUAUUGCAGCAACUGGCACUGGCUUUGGAUUAUCUCCUAUUUACCCAGGAUACACAGGUGGAGGUGUACCUGGCUAUGGAGGUAAACCUCCCAAGCCCUAUGGAGCCCUGGGGGCACUCGGCUACAAAAGAGGAGUCGGCCGGAAGAGGAAGUAGCCCAGACCGACAGCCUACCAUUCACCUCAUGAACUUUGGUGCUACUGCCUGGUCUCGAAUGUACCCUCACCCCACCCCACCCCUGAGAAAAGCAGAGAUUCCACCACCGCCGCUGCCAACACAGCCCCAUGCCUUGCCACCCCCACCCCCGGCUGGCCCCUCUCCCUCUCACUGGUGCUACAACCAUCCCACAGGGAGCGUCCCUGCCUUCAGCUCCCUGGGGCCCUUUGGUGCUGCAGCCUAGGAGGGCUGCUUUCAGAGGGGGCGGCCUGAGCACUUUAAACCCACUCCUGAGCCCUGCCCCCCACAAGCGGGAGGGGGGGGCCAGGAGCCGUCGGCCAGCUGGCCCUGCUUCUUCCCUGGUCUCUCUCUGCUGGCUCCUCUUUGGAUCUAAGUGUGUGGGGGGGGGAGGACACCCCUUGUUUUGCCGUGAGCCCCAUGCCAGGCCAUUCCUCCCUUCCCCCUGAACACACUGCCUCUGUUUGGAGGGGAGCAGUUCAGGCCAAGCUGUCAGUGCCAAUGGGAUUAGCCUUAAUCCUGGAGCUUCUGCUGGCUGCCAGGCUCGGGUGGAUUAGCACGGCCAGGCCACAGCAUCCGUACCAUCCCUAACGUGGACGCCGGCAUGACAUCGUCCAGCUCCCAAUGAACGGGCUGGCCAGGGACCCCUGUACAUGACCAGCCAACCUGCUCCACAUCUUCCAUGUUUAAUCACUUCGAUGUAACUGGGAUGGGACACUUUUUAUAAAGAAGAACAAUAACUGCUUUCCAAAAAAAAAAAAACCAAAAUAAAUAAAACCUGACUAAUAAAUAAUGUUUUAAA